CUGCAGACUACUUGGAAAGUAAAGCUAAGGAAUUCCUCUAUUCUUGGAAUAUCAAACCAAGACAAAAAUUAUCCGAGGACGCAGCCCUUGUUGAUACAGGUCACACACAAUAGAUCUCUUGAACUACCACUUACUCUGAAAACGAAAAUUGCAAGAAACGAUACUCUGGUAAACUGGCAAAUGCGAUGGGACGCAAGUAGCAAUGGACUUUGGACCCACCGAUUAAUAUCAAAACUCGAACCAUGGAUAAACCGUUCUCAUGCCGGGAGACACUGAUACAUGUGAUUCCUGCGCUGGCAGCCUUACCGCAGACGUCGAAUAUUUAUUCUUCUACUGCUCCAAUUUUGUCCGAGAACGGAUUUUUCUGAGAGAUAUCUUUAAAGUAGACCCAACACCUGAAAAUAUUUUCUCAAAUAUGGUUCAAUCCUCAGAAAACUGAAAUGCACUUUCCAAUAUAGCAGCAAGA